GGAAUUGUGGGAGUUGUCGUAAAAAGUCCGCUUUCUGGCCGUGAUGGCCGCCGUGGAGGCAUGGAGUUAUGGGUUUCUGCUUUUUGGGGAGUCUUGGGGGCUGUCUGUGGUGUCAGAGGGCCACCAAAGCCCCCAGGCUGUCGAGGCCCUGUAAAUUGUGUCCCAGGGAGAUGGGCGAGCGGCUUGAGAGGUUAAUAUUGAAACCAGCUGUCGGUCCAUCGAGCAGGGGGCCUGUGGCGUCUGUGGGCUCGGUGAGGGGUCUUAGCCGGCUGGACCCUGGCGGCCUGGCUGGCCGCCUUUGCAGUAUCGGGGUGGCCAAUACCCGGGUUUGUGUGUGUGUGUGUGUGUGUACUUUGUGUUGAUGUGACUUGUGUCCUGUGCUUAGAGCAUCUGGUUUUGUCAGUAGUUGGUGCUCACGACCCAUUGGGUUCCUUUUCUUGGGUUUAGUGGAACUUAAUUAGAGCUGUACACCGUGUCCUGGGUGUUAUGUGUGUGUUUUGGAGUGUUUGCAUGAGUUAUAAGUGUGUCUGAAGGUGUGGUUGGCUUUCUUUUGCAUGUGGCGAACUUUGCUCUAGUUUGCUAAUUGUGGGAGGCAGUGUCAAGCAGUUCCCGUUUGUGAAAUCCUUUUCUGUUAAUUUGAGUGAGUUCUUAUACUUUUUGGAGCUUCUGGAGGAGUGUUUGGUAGUGGUUUUUUAGAAAUAUACAUGUGCAAAACUGUAUGUAAAAUGUCAGAAUCACAGGUAUCUUUAGUUUUAGGUAGCAAACCCAUUUGCUUCCCUGAUGCUAUGAAACUUGCUUUUUUAUUUUUAUGGAAAUCACGUUUGCUGUUUACCUUUGUUACCUUACUCUUGGCUUAUAGGGUUCCUCUGUGUAUUGGACUCUUUGAAUGGUGUUGGGUACCCUUUGCAUAUUUGAGGCAAAAUGUGACAUGUAAUUGCAUAUAUCAGAUUCUCAGGGUACCAGCAAAUUACUGGGUAUGUCAGUACCUGUCUUAACUGUGUUACUUGUUCAUACACAUUUGGUCUCAGUGUUUCUGAGACUAUGUACUGUUCCAUAAAUUCUCCCCGUAUUUUUAUGAUCUUGAGUGUUGUCUGUGUAACUUUAGGCAUAACUGGUAAUAAAAAGUCAUUUUUCAGACAUUAUUGUAAGCUUUUUUCACCCCUGAAAAUAGAGCUGGUGUUAGAAAAGUUUUACCCUCAAGUUUGAUGAAAUAAGGGAUGUGAAUUAAGGUCCAAUACAGGGUUUGAUACUCAGCCAUCAGUUUUAAUAGGCAACCGCAUAACACAAUGGUUUAUAGGAAAAGUGGGAAAAUACUGUAUUUUUUUUUUUUUUGGUACUUUAGAGGAUAUAGAACUUUCAUUCUCAUUAUGUUAGACUGCUUUCAUAUAUUAUUAAAAAGCUCUUUGAUGUGUAUAAUGAGUGAGGUUUUCAUAGAUGUUAUCUUUGGGUUUGCUUAGGACUUGAGAAUGUAAUUGUGGUAGAGAAAAGAACAAAGCUGUUAGAUUUGUACAUGUGAUUCUGCUGAAAGUUUUGGCUUCAGGUCGAUAAUCUGAUAUUGAUUGGCUUGUUAGCUCUCAGGAAUGCAUUUUCUUUCCUUUGGCCUACAUUACAAUAUGAAGAUCAUAUCAGAUUGCCAAACAGGCUAGCACCUGGCCUAGCCUGUCUACACAACUUCAGUUGCAGUUUUUCUGCCAGUGUGUGCUGUUGCAUCAGUCCUGCCUUACUUCUAUGCUCGAGAUCUUGUCUGCAUAACUUGAAGGAUAACUCAUGAAAACUCUAAUUCAUCUUAAAAUAUUAACUCAUUUGCCAGUUUAAAAAGAUUGAUAAGUUUAUUAUGAAGACUCCAUUCUACUCAUUUUUGUUAUUUUUUGGUGAUGUGGCAAAAUGCCAUUCUAGUGAACUUUUUUUUUUUAAUCUUAGGAGGGCUGAAUGUCUAUAUUUGUAGAUUGUAGAAUCAUUCACAAUCAGCCACAACCAGUGUUCAUUUAGUUGGAAAGAAGCUGCAUACAUCUUUCAUUUCCAAGUGAUUUCUCACUUGAGUUAAUUAAAACAAACAGCUUAUUAAAGUGUCCUGGAGCUGUUUUGAGACAAGAAGGGUACCUUGGUAAGUUUAGAGAUAAACUGGUCUUUGCAUUUGCACCUAUGUGGACAUUUAUGUAAGUAGACACAUUUCUCUGCCAUGCAAUGACGCUUUGCACCCAAGAAUUCCAUUAUUUAAUGUCUGAGACCUGUUUGGUACUCUGCUUUCUACUUCUAUCUUUAGUUCUGUUACUGAAGUGAAAUUUUUUUUGUAAUAAACGAAGACAACAGGAGUUGUUUGAGGAAAAAAAAAUAUAAUGUGGUCCGUUUGUUUUCUGGAGAACAUGAUUCCUAAGAUUAUAUAUACGUAUUUGAUAGAUGUGCCAAAAACACAUCAAAGUUUCUCUUUGAAACUUAUGUUGUGCGUAACAUAAUUCUAUCUCACUGAAAUACUUUUCAGUGCGAUAGAACACUAAAGGAUAAUUUUCUUAAUCAAGGCAUAACAGUUUUAUGGUUCUAGUAUUUGAAAGUUUUGGUCUUAAUGUUUAUUCUAAUAAAGAAUUGCAAACUUACUUCCAAAUAGGAUUUGGAAGAUGCUAAAAAAGUGGUUUUACUUUUAGACUAUAGCCAAAAUACAGAGACACUAAAGAGGGAUUCCAGUAGAAAUGUUUGUAGCCUUUACUCAGAUCCUUUCUAAUCUCUUGUUUUCUUGUACGUAACUAGUCCCAUCCUUGAGAGUAAACAGCUCUUAUUCCUGUAUUUCUGCAUCUGUGAGCAUUUGUGAAUGGUAAAACUGUAUUGGUCAGCUUUCCUCUUGCUGAUACAAAAUACCUGAUAACUACAAUUUAAAGGAGGAGAGGUUUGUUUUGGCUUGGGAUUUCAGAAGAUUUGCUCUGUGGCUGACUGGUUCCAAGGCAGAAGGAUCAUGGUGGAUCGAACUGCUUUGUUCAUGUGGCUAGGAAGCAGCAGAAGGAAAUAGCACCAGCAAGAAAAGGGGCAGGAACCAGAUACAGACCUCAAGAUCACACCUUCACGACCCAGACACAGUUAGAAAUGUGCUUUGGUAUUUUCUAGGCAACUCCAAAGCCAGUCAAAUUGACAGUUAAUUUAAUGUUCAUAACUGCAUAACAGGACACCACAUUACCCAUUUAGAAUGUUUUGUUUUUGUUUUGGAGACAGGUCUCACUAAGUAAUUCGGGCUGGCCUUGAAUUCAUAGCUAUCCUCUCACCUCAUCCUCCCAAAGUGCUGGGAUUUGUACAGGUAUGCAGUGCCAUGUGCAACCCCAUUUAGAAUCUUAUCUUUAUUUUUCACUUACAUUAUUUGAAGAGGAACAAUUGUUUAUUGUAAUUUGUACAUUCACGCGUGGUUUUUUUACUUUUGGUAUUAUACUACAUUACUUUUAUCUCCAAUCCUCCACCUUCCCAAAAAAUAAUAAGGUUUCUAGCAGAAAAGGAUAAGGUGUUUUUAAAUUUCUAUACCUUUCAAUGAUGAUUCUUAUUUCUUGAUUCAACCUACAUGCAUUUCCAGGACAAUACAUUAUUGCUGAUCUCCUGAGCCCUAUUUUUUAAAGCCAUAUUAUUUAUUAUAUAAUUUGUAUGGGCAGGACAAAGGAUCUAUUUCAAAAUACUAAGUGCAGACUCAAAGCUAUUAAUUAAUUUAUAUUGGAAGAAAGUGGGAUCAUAUGCAUAUGAUAGCAGAGAGUCUAUAUUUUAACACUUCAAAAUCUACUGGGGACCUAGCCAAGAUCCUCAGUCUCCCAACCAGUAUACAGCAAAAGCUUAAAUAAAUGAGACAAGUGGUAUGAGUCUAGGGCUCCAGAAGGCUCAAAACCCUCUAGCAGAGUUUGAGACUCUGGGGGCUGAGACAAGAAGUGUCUCAGGGUGCCCGUAUUUAUUUAGUUUUCAAACAAGGAAAGGGUUAGAGUGGAAAACAUAGGACCUUACGAGUGGUUCGAGGACUUUUCCAAGUAGCAGACUAUGUUAAUUUAGGAGAACUAUUUUAGGAGAAAGUCUCCAGGUUGACUCACUACAGGAGUAAAAUGUGUGCAGCUACAGUCUCGUACCUUGUUAAUUGGGGUUGGAGCCAGGUGUCCUCAGCUUUGGCCUUAUCUUGCCCUUUGGUUUGGCUCUUUGUUCUUGGGUCAGCUGUACCUGGCCAUGCCCGCCCUGAACAUUGUGUUCAGUUUCCAGCAUUAACGGCUCCCCACAAAAGUCUUGAAAGCAUUUUGUCUUCUGCCUUAUUUUUGUUUUUGUUAUUCAACAUUUUCCCUUACUGUAUUUGUGUGGUUCUAGAAUUUAUACAUUUUUAUUUCUGCUAGAAAAGAUUUCACAUUGUUUCAGUUUUUGAAAAUGAUUUUCAUUGAUCAAGUGGUUCUCCCCUUUUUAUAAAUUUUUUUUUUUAUUUUAAAAUAGGGUUUCACUGAGUUGACCAGGUUGGACUCUUGAACUCUUACUGUCUAAGCCUUCUGAUGGCUGGAAUUACAGGCAUGUGCCACUACAUUUGACUGCAUAUAACUUUCCUGAAUUUCACCACAAACUGGCAGAAUGUGGCCUAAAAAUUUGACUAUGAUUUACUUUUCUGUUAUUGACAGGGUUUCAUUAGUGAAAAAGAUACAUGAUUUGUCCUUUUCCAAAGGAAUGUGAAAAGCAUUUCUUGCUUUUCAGACAUAGUUAUAAAAUAUACUGUGAAAACUUUAUUAUGAUAAUGUAAGAAGUCCUCUAAUGCACAUAAAAGAAUAGGAGAAAACUGUGUUGACUAAUCUAGAAAAUAUUUGCAAGCCAUUUUUACAGUUUUUUGUUUUUCUUUUUUCUUUUUUUUAAACUAAGUCUGUUUUUCACCAGAAAGUGGUGGCACAUUCCUAUAAUCCUAGUACUUGGGAGGCUGAGGCAAGAGGAGUACAGUGAAUUCAAGGCCAACCUGAGCUACAUAGUGAGACUCUGUCUCAAAAAUUUAAAAAUAAAACAUGAGAUUUUUUUUUCUUUUUGUAGAGAGAACCACAUAUUUUCAAUAAAGUUGUAUUAAAAGAGUGGCCAAUUUAAUCCUUCUGGUACUGACCAAAAAUACAGAGUAGGUACUGUUUAGAGAGGGCAAAGAGUACCCAUUGCACGAGGAGUCCGCUGCACCAUCUGUUGUACUAUGGAGCCUCCUGUGCCUAUUGUACCAGUGAGUUAAGAUGAAGAUAAGCUGGGAAUGUGGUUCAGUGUUAGUAAAUUAACAUGAAACUGACUUCUGUUAUGUUCUUCUAUUUGAGGAGAAAGUAUUCUAAAACUUAAAAUAUGAAAAUACAUAGAAAUAUAGGUAUGUGAUACAGUUUUUAUAAAUCACAAGAAAAAGAUGGACAGGCACAGUGAAUGUUUGUGCUAUUUAUAAAAGUAAAAAAUUAAAAUGACAAUAAAUAAUAUAUUUUCCAAAUAUGGUUAAAGCAUCUUCCCCUAGCUCAAUAUGCCUUUCUGCAAUGUGACGUCACUCUAUGAUCAAAAGAUGAAGUCACAGGCUGGGUUUUUAGUUCAGUGGUAGAGCAUGCACAGAACAUUCUCUAGGCUCUGGAUUCUAUCCACAGUACCAAAUAUAAGAUAGGUAGAUAGGUGACUCUGCUUCUUUGAAUCUGUUAUAACCAAAGGAAUGUGAUGAUGUGUAUGGCUGUUCACUGGGAUGUCGACUUGAUUGGGUUAAGCCUUGACUGGUUGUGUCUGGGUAGGUCACUGGAGGGGUGACAUUGAGUACUAUAUGUGGACCCUGGCCUGUUCCUCUCUGGCACUGAUCCCCUGCUCUGCUUUUCAACCACUAUGAGGUGAAAUACUUUCCUUUGCCAAGCUCCUCUGUUGUGAUGUUCCUGCCACGGAGAAGGCUGACCAUGAACUGAAUCCUCUGAAACCAAGAGCUAAAGUAAACCUCUCCUUCAGGUUGUGGGUAUCAGGUAUUAUGUCAGGCAAUCACGAUGUAAGAAAUGCAGUUACUUUGAAAUCAUGAUGUUGAAAGAAACCAAAGUCAGAUGAAGAUGCUCUGGAGGAUGAGAAGACAUUUAAGUGGGAAGUAGAUGGAUAAGUAACUUGGGAAAUGAGUGUUUCUGCCCCAGCUGCCUUAGUUGUUGUUGUAAGUCAUAUAAGCCAUCCAGAAACCCUUCCCAGUAUCUGGUCCAUAAAAUUGAGAGCAAAAUAAAGUGUUUUUUGUAAACUUC